AUCUUGACUCCGGGCGGCCUCGCCCUGAGACACUUCGCUACCCGCCGAUACAGCUCGCUUUGCGCAGGGUAGGCGCUUCCAGGCCCAACCAAAGAUGGUGGCUCGGAGCGCGCGCCCGUCUAGCUCUGUCUCCAUGGUGAUCUCCCCUUGCCCUGCCCCCCGCCCGCGCCGCCGCGCGCAGCCCGCACCAUGGCGCCGCUGAGCCGCCGCGCCCGGGACUGGCUUUACUCGCUGAUUCUUCUCACCAUUGUAUUACUUUCAUGGGGAUAUGUUAUUUAUGCAACAAGAAUAGCAGCUCGGUGGCAACUUGAGAAGGACUACCCUGAUCAAAUGCUGAAUUUUUAAAGGAAACAUUACAGAUGGACGGCAUCUGGAUUUUCACACCUGAACACAUUUAAAACCAAAUUUGAGGACAGAAAAGAUUAUUUCCAACUAAUGGUUUGAGAAGUUAUGACCUGACCACAUAAUUUAAGUUUAACAGUGGUAGAAGGCUUCAAGAAAAAAAAAAUCAAGCUUCCUGCACAAUUAAAGGAUCAACAGAAAUACAGGCAAUGCAUGUUGUGUGACACUGAGUUUUCUUAAUAAAUAUAGAAAAUGAGCACCAGACUAAGUAGCAGCCAAGGAAGAAAUGUACACCAAGUGUAUGUUCAGUUGGUUUGCAGAAUGUCUUCUCUUUUACAGACUUAAUGUCUUUGCUAAAGAGUUUGUAAUGUUUAAAAUAUGGUACACAUGUUUAAGUCCAGUGAUAUGGCAGUAAGUAACAUUAUUUAAAAGUGAUUCAACAUUUUCCUUCAGUUCACGUUAAUAGUAUUUGGCCCUCAAAUAGUCUUAUUCAGCAACAGCUUAUCCAUAGCAACUCUUUCCUCUUAAAAUCGAUUAUGCUAAAGUUUUUCAUUGAUGGAGUAAGCAAGUGUAACUGCAGCAGCCUCAACCAAGUUGUGUUUAGAGGUCUGCAGAUGUGUCUGGCAUCUUGGCUAUGCCUAGUAAAGUGCUAGUCACAGAUGUUAUAGUGACAUAACUCACACUAUCUUCUAGUGAUAUGGUAUGCUGACCUUCAGGAAUAGUCAGGUCGAGGUUGGCUGAGGAAUUUUGGAAUACUGCUAGUCAAUGAAGUGGAUCAAGUAUUUGAAAUAGGGUUAUUUCCUGAAAGGAACAAGUAUUCAUAGAAAUGUGAGUACGAAUAACUAUUUGUCACCGUUUGUUUCUAUUUACUCAUCUUAUUUUGCUGUUGAUUCAUACAAUUAAAGCUAUCAUGUUUUACCAAACCCUCUCAUACAGAUGAUUUUGAAAAAAAGAAUUGUAAGAUUUUGUAGUUUAUAAACUUUACAAUAUUGCUUGAGUGUUCAGAGUUCUGGUAGGACUUCCACAAUAAAUGAAACAGAGGCUAUGUAAACUAAUAUCUUAUUAAAAUUAUUUCUCAAUAA